UCCCUGAUGGUCCAGUGGCUAAGACUCUGCACUCCCAAUGCAGGGGGCCCGGGUUCGAUCCCUGGUCAGGGAA
rnacentral:tRNA from 1 species